rnacentral:rRNA from 1 species
GAUGAACGCUGGCGGCGUGCCUAAUACAUGCAAGUCGAGCGAACAGACGAGGAGCUUGCUCCUCUGACGUUAGCGGCGGACGGGUGAGUAACACGUGUAUAACCUACCUAUAAGACUGGGAUAACUUCGGGAAACCGGAGCUAAUACCGGAUAAUAUAUUGAACCGCAUGGUUCAAUAGUGAAAGACGGUUUUGCUGUCACUUAUAGAUGGAUCCGCGCCGCAUUAGCUAGUUGGUAAGGUAACGGCUUACCAAGGCAACGAUGCGUAGCCGACCUGAGAGGGUGAUCGGCCACACUGGAACUGAGACACGGUCCAGACUCCUACGGGAGGCAGCAGUAGGGAAUCUUGCGCAAAGGGCGAAAGCCUGACGGAGCAACGCCGCGUGAGUGAUGAAGGUCUUCGGAUCGUAAAACUCUGUUAUUAGGGAAGAACAAAUGUGUAAGUAACUAUGCACGUCUUGACGGUACCUAAUCAGAAAGCCACGGCUAACUACGUG